AUGCUUGGGACCGACUUAUGUCCCAACAAUUUAUGCCAGUUUUAUUCUUGGUGCUAUGCUUUUUUGCCUCAAGGGGAACAAUAUUUCACCAUGGGGCUGGCAACUAUAUGCUGGGCUAUUUGGAAUCGUAGAAACCAGGCUACUUUUGAAUUCAAGAAAUUGUCAUCUCCUUUCGAGAUUGUUUUCAAUGCUUGUAUGCACCUAUCUUGUUGGGCAGGUCUCCUGAAGGGCGAAAGGCGAAUGGAGCUGGAGCGUGGUGCGAUGAUUCUGAAGGAGAACACUAAAGAGAUGAUGAGGCUCUGCGCGACUGCACACGCGGGCGACGCUGUGGAGUGA
rnacentral:rRNA from 1 species